GUUCUGGAAACAUACACAGAAGUUCUCUACUUUUCAAAAUGUGUGCAUGUUCACUCCUUUCCAUCAGGUUUUGGGAGAACAUCAAAGACAUGGAAGCCUGCAUUUAGCAUAUUCUGUACACGUUUGAAGACUAGUGUCUCAUGUUACAGGUCCUAGUAAAUUUGUGACAAGUGGGUUAUAGUUUAGUG
rnacentral:lncRNA from 14 species